rnacentral:tRNA from 1 species
GCAGUGGUGGUUUGGUGGUAGAAUUCUUGCCUUCCAUGCAGGAGACUCUGGGUUUGAUUCCCAGCCAAUGCA